UACGGGGGGGGCAAGCGUUGUUCGGAAUUACUGGGCGUAAAGGGCUCGUAGGCGGCCAACUAAGUCCGACGUGAAAUCCCAAGGCUUAACCUUGGAAACUGCGUCGGAUACCUGGAUGGCUUGAAUUCGGGAAGAGGGAUGCAGAAUUCCGAGGUGUGAGCGGUGAAAUGACGUAGAUAGUCUGGAAGGAAUACCGGUGGCGAAGGCGGCGAGUCCUGGACCGACAAUUGACGCUGAGGAGCGAAAGCUAAGGGGAGCAAACGGGG
rnacentral:rRNA from 1 species